rnacentral:misc_RNA from 1 species
AACGCACGAGACCUGCGGACCUGCGGAAGGAUCAUUAAUGAGAAGCUGCCCCUCGUGGGUAGACCUCCCACCCUCUGUGAACUUACUUUUGUUGCUUUGGCAGGCCCGUCCUCUGGACCGCCGGCUUCGGCUGGCCCGUGCCUGCCAGAGGAUUCCAAACCCUGUCUGUCAGUGUUGUCUGAGUCUAUAUGAAAUCGUUAAAACUUUCAGCAACGGAUCUCUAGAUCGGAAGAGCACACG